AAGGGAGACCUAAUUCAGGUAGGAGACGAAAAAAAAGUAGUCGCUACCCAGAAUCAAUCCCAAAAGGUCGGAGCGAGGCGAAAUUGGCUUUCAAACUAGGUUCUGGGUUCACACAAGACCUGAAUCAGGAACAAGGGCUAUUAGCUCAGGUGGUUAGAGCGCACCCCUGAUAAGGGUGAGGUCCCUGGUUCGAGUCCAGGAUGGCCCACCUGUACAGGUGGCAAAAAGAAAGAAAAGAAGCGAGGAAUCAGCACCUUAUCUUACUGACAUAGUAAGAGAGAAUGCUGGCUCUGAGUAAAGAGUCCAGAGGAACCUUGAAAACUGCAUAGAGCUAGGUGGAAAAGCCAAAAAAGAAGACCGCAA
rnacentral:tRNA from 1 species